rnacentral:lncRNA from 1 species
UAAUAGAUCACAAAUCUUCUGUUCUUGCUUUUGAGGCUCUCGAAUCAGAACUUGAUAAAAUUAUGGUUUUGCUCUUGAAAUACAAUAAAUCUUUUUUCAAGCCAAAAUCAUUAGUAACCUCCUCAAAUGUAUUGUAAUCAUCAAAAUUAAUUCAUGAAGCAUCAGCUUCUUGUGCGACUUGGGCUCUAUAGGAGUUUGGUAAGAUAGCCCCAUCUUGGAGUCACUGAGGUCUUCUCAAGAGUCUGGUAAGUUAGUCCUUCAAAGGUUCCCUCUAGGGUCUCCCUCUACUUCUCACGUGACUCAGGCUCUACAAGGGUCUGAUAAGUUAGCCCUGCCUCGAAAUCAUUGAGGUCUUCUCGAGGGUUUGGUAAGUUAGCCCUUCAGAGAUUUUCUCAAGGAACUCUCUUCACUUUUCGUGUGACUCAAGCUCUGCAGGGGUCUGAUAAGUUAGCCCCGCCUCAGAGUUAUCGAGGUUUUGAGUUGUGGAUCUGCACAAAAGAUGAAGAAACUUGCCAAACCAGCUCUAACUGGGCCUUUUGAUUUUUUAGUCAGAUUAUACUUUUGGAGAUAAAUAGACUGUUGUUAUCUAUUUGAGCUAGUUUGCUUCUCCUUGACUUGUUCAGAUUUACCUUCUGAUGAUGUUGACCCUUUGAGGCUAGUUUAAAGGUUGUCUCAUAGGUCUCACCUUAUCUUUGUGACUUUAGUUUGAUCUUCACUUCAAUUUAAAUGCUUGAAGACCUGUUGUUCAAAAAGAAUGAUAUAGAAUAAUAGAUAAUAUUCAAAAGUUUUUUACCAUAAGAGUUAUGAGCACUAUUUGAGAGCUUUUGGGGUUUUGCUUGACUUCUAUUAUUUGCCUCAGUUUGGACUUAUUUUUAGCUUCAGAUUAGCUUGAUUUUUACCUCAGAUGUACAUGCUUGGACCUUGGAUUUGCAUGUUUCACUUUGGAUCUGCAUGCUUUUAUCUCGGAUUUGAAGGAUUUACGUCAGAUUUGCAUGCUUUUAUCUCAGAUUUAAAGGAUUUACCUUGGAUUUGAAUGCUUUUACCUCGGAUUUGAAGGAUUUACUUUGAAUUUGAAUGCUUUUACCUCAGAUUUGAAGGAUUUAUCUCGGAUUUGC